AGAAGGAUUGUAUGUCCUUCAGAGUUCAUGUAGGCCUGGCAGUGGGAGGAGAGAAACAAAAUGAAGCAUAAAGCAAGGGUUGAAUGGGCUUUCCCAGGAUCCCCAGCUGAAAUUUGAUAUGCUUGCUUGCAGUGGAUUUUUUUUUUCUGAAAGCUUCAUCAAAAUGGCUUCAAGCAUAGGAGUGAAUAAAAUGCAGCUAAGACAAAACAGAAAUUGCAACCUUUUUCGACCAGCUCUAGCACCUCAGCAGAAGAUGAUGGAGGCUUGAAAACUGGCAGGCACUCAGGACCCAGUUCAGUCAAACAAUUAAACACGUACUUAACUUUAAGAUUGUGAACAAUCCCUUUGACCUCCAUGGGAAGGAGAACAGAGACACGGAGGCCAGGUGACUCGCCCAAGCUCACACAACAGCAUGGAUGAGCCUGCCCUCAUUAAAGGAGAUAAUGGAGACAUUUUGGAGGAUGCUUCAAGGAGCUGACCAACAUCAUUCUAGGACAACUGAUUUCCACCCAGAACAUGACCUAACAGCAGGUGCAAAUGUUUCAAUGCGGCCCCUAUCUACUCCAUCCCAGAGGCUGGUCCAGAUUAGAAGGCGGAAAAAAUGAACUCGGGAUGAAAAUGUUUGCCAAGCUCAUGCAGUCCUCCUGCACUGAUAGGGCCCAGCUGAAUACGUGGAGGCAGACAAUUGUGGAGGCCCUUAAAGUGUUACAUGAAUAUGAAGAGAGGAGGGACGUGCGCGAUGAGAGCAGGCAGGAUGCUGUGGUCAAGCUCAUGGGGGAGCAAAUUGACAUGCUCUGCUGUAUGGUGGAUCUAAUGUGGGAAAGGCAGCAAGACCACAGACUGCCACUGCAGCCCCUGAAUAACCACCCUCCCUCCUCCCCAAGUUCCAUAGUCUCCUCACCCAGACGCCCAAGAACACGCGGGGGGAAGGCUAUGGGGACCCACACAGUCAACCCCAGAGGACUGCACAAGCAGCAGAAAGCUGACAUAUCCUAAAUUUUAAUUUGGUUUCUGGACUUGUCUUUCCCUCCUCCACCACCCCCCUAACCCAAUACCACCCCUCCCCCAUCU